rnacentral:rRNA from 1 species
UACGGAGGAUGCAAGCGUUAUCCGGAAUGAUUGGGCGUAAAGGGUCCGCAGGUGGCAGUGUAAGUCUGCUGUCAAAGAAUGAGGCUUAACCUCAUCAAGGCAGUGGAAACUACACAGCUAGAGUACGGUCGGGGUAGAAGGAAUUCCUGGUGUAGCGGUGAAAUGCGUAGAGAUCAGGAAGGACACCGGUGGCGAAAGCGUUCUGCUAGACCUGUACUGACACUGAGGGACGAAAGCUAGGGGAGCGAAUGGG